rnacentral:rRNA from 1 species
UUGAUCCUGCCGGACCCGACUGCUAUCAGAGUGGGACUAAGCCAUGCGAGUCAACGUAGAAAUACGUGGCAAACGGCUCAGUAACACGUAGUCAACAUGCCCAGGGGACGUGGAUAACCUCGGGAAACUGAGGAUAAACCGCGAUAGGCCAUGAUUUCUGGAAUGGUUCAUGGCCGAAAUCUAUAUGGCCCCUGGAUUGGACUGCGGCCGAUCAGGCUGUUGGUGAGGUAAUGGCCCACCAAACCUGUAACCGGUACGGGCUCUGAGAGGAGGAGCCCGGAGAUGGGCACUGAGACAAGGGCCCAGGCCCUAUGGGGCGCAGCAGGCGCGAAACCUCUGCAAUAGGCGAAAGCUUGACAGGGUUACUCUGAGUGAUUUCCGUUAAGGAGAUCUUUUGGCACCUCUAAAAAUGGUGCAGAAUAAGGGGUGGGCAAGUCUGGUGUCAGCCGCCGCGGUAAUACCAGCACCCCGAGUGGUCGGGACGUUUAUUGGGCCUAAAGCAUCCGUAGCCGGUUCUACAAGUCUUCCGUUAAAUCCACCUGCUUAACAGAUGGGCUGCGGAAGAUACUAUAGAGCUAGGAGGCGGGAGAGGCAAGCGGUACUCGAUGGGUAGGGGUAAAAUCCGUUGAUCCAUUGAAGACCACCAGUGGCGAAGGCGGCUUGCCAGAACGCGCUCGACGGUGGGGGACGAAAGCUGGGGGAGCAAACCGGAUUAGAUACC